UUCUUCGGGGCUGCUCACUUGAACGCGACUCGCUCCAUUGGUGCCUCGGACGUGACUGCUUCUGCGGUUUCUUAUGGUCGGCUCUUCCGCAGAGGCGGGCUUUGUGCCGGGGAUCGUACCGCCGAACGAGCGGGAGGUGACAACAGGCUGGUCUGUACUACUGAAAGCGGAAGGGAUAAAUAUCUAGAAGGACGAUGCCGCCUGAGAAUUGCUGAGCUGACCGCAUUGCAGGCAGCAUACGUUUAGGCACGGUCCUAGGUUUGAACGGAGGCUAGACGACGAUGGUACUGCUUCUCCGAGCGUGGCUGACAUGAUAGAAGAAAGAGGUCGCAGUGGACCUGCCAGUACUUCUCCACUUGAAGCUUGUACCUCUGAAGGAAGUCAACUGCCUGCGUUUUCGCUUCAACCUACGGAUUGCCACAAGGCUACACAAUGAAACCAACGGCACAUAUUAACGUGCAAUAUAUCAGCAAAACAGAUGGCCUGGUCCGGUAACUGCGGUGUAAUCAUACCGAGGAACAUCUAUACCGCAUGCUACCAUCACUAUACCAUGUUCGCGAAACGAUACACCUCCCACAUGGCAUCGAAAUGGUGCUCGAACCCGUUUCUCGUGCAGAUAAGGUUGACUACUUCCACGUUCAGCAUUAGAUCAGGGGUCUCAGCAGUAGAUUCGAAACAGUAAUCAUAAGUCCAGCCGAAUUUUGUGAGAAGUCCUUGGACAUGCUACAACAGCUAAAAAUGUCCCACUUCGAGAGCAAGCAGAAAGCGAAAUAUUUAAGAGGGCUCAAAACGAACACAAAGCAUUAAGAGUUGAUUGCUCAACUGGCCUUCGCAGGUUAUUAUAGCUGCCUCGUGUAAGAUGCUCCCCAAUCCUAUCGCUGGUUAACUGCACAAGCGGCAUUACAUCGUUUCGUCGCAUACGAUCGCUCCAAAGGAAAUGGGACCCUCCGUGCAAAACUACUUGUUGUUUUCGACUGUCUCGAGUGUGGUACAGCUGCAGUGGCUAUCUCUUCAAGCUGAAGUCUUGAAACUCCUCAAACACGACCUUCCUGAUGUCAGGAAAGUUAGCCAUUUUUCCGACAGUGCGUGAUCACAGAACAACAAGAAAUAUUUUGUAAAUUAUGCUGUAAUGAAAACGGCUUUCAUUUAGCUUCAAAGUGGAGCUUGAAAUAUCUCAUGACAAGAGCACUUGACAACCGCGAAGCUGUUGGCAGGCAGGGCAAGACCCUACAAGGAACGUACACUUACACUUCAUCAACUUUUUAGAUGUUAAGAACAAGAAUAUCAAAGUACGUCUGUGCUAAGGGUGCUAGAAAGAAGUGUUGAAGAGAAAAAAGUUGAACUCUCACUAAGAUCUGAAACUGUGAUCGCCUUGAAAGGUUCACGCACCUUUCACCCUUUCGAACCAUCAUCGUCGACUCAGCCGCAUAAAUGUUUCUGGUGACGAAGUCCAUACGUCAACGGCGGCA